AACGAGGGCAGGUCAUUUGGACGCGGCGGAGGUGGUGGUGGCGCUGGCGGCGCACUUGGACGUUGGUGACGUUCGUUCCUCUGCAAAAUGAAAAUAAGUUCUUUCUUGCUCUCAUUAACUGCUAAAACUAAAAGGGCUUCGAGGAAGAGGAUCAGAAGGUUACCCUGUCUUCUGGGGCCGCAGCUGCAGGCCUAGCUAUGUAGUUAAUAACUUGGACGAUUGCAGAUUGGCUCAACUCAGUACAGUUUUUCCAGUAGAACAGGGCCAAUUCCCAGCCCUUCACUCUCCAAUCCCCCAUCUUCUGUUCAAUAUCUGUUUCGUGUUUAUCUACCAAGGGCCGCAGCAAAGUGUCGAACACAUAUUUUGUUCCCUGCAUUGUUUUAGCCCAACAUUAACAAACAGAUCAGCUGUAUCCAAAUUUGAAAUAAAUGUCCUGUGCUCUUA